rnacentral:tRNA from 1 species
GAGGGUGUAGCUCAGUGGUAGAGCACGUGCUUAGCAUGCACAAGGUCCUGGGUUCAAUCCCCAGUACCUCCA